GAUGGACGCUAGCGGCAGGCUUAAUACAUGCAAGUCGAGGGGCAGCAUGACUGUAGCAAUACAGUUGAUGGCGACCGGCAAACGGGUGCGGAACACGUACAGAACCUUCCUUCGAGCGGGGAAUAGCCCAGAGAAAUUUGGAUUAAUACCCCAUAGCAUAACGGAGUGGCAUCACUUUGUUAUUAAAGAUUUAUCACUUGAAGAUGGCUGUGCGGCUGAUUAGGUAGUUGGCGGGGUAACGGCCCACCAAGCCUGCGAUCAGUAACUGGUGUGAGAGCACGACCAGUCACACGGGCACUGAGACACGGGCCCGACUCCUACGGGAGGCAGCAGUAAGGAAUAUUGGUCAAUGGACGAAAGUCUGAACCAGCCAUGCCGCGUGGAGGAUGAAGGUCCUCUGGAUUGUAAACUUCUUUUAUAUGGGACGAAAAAAGGCUUUUCUAAGUCGUCUGACGGUACCAUAUGAAUAAGCACCGGCUAACUCCGUGCCAGCCGCCGCCGUAAAAC
rnacentral:rRNA from 1 species